rnacentral:rRNA from 1 species
AAUGAACGUUGGCGGCGUGGAUUAGGCAUGCAAGUCAAGCGAGAACCCCGCAAGGGGGGACAGCGGCGAAAGGGACAGUAAUGUGUAGAUUAUCUGCCCUCAGGUCCGGGAUAGCUGCGGGAAACUGCAGGUAAUACCGGAUAACAUCUCCGGAUCAAAGGUGUGAUUCCGCCUGAGGAUGAGUCUGCAUCCUAUUAGCUAGUUGGUGGGGUAAUGGCCUACCAAGGCAUUGAUGGGUAGCAGGUGUGAGAGCACGACCUGCGUCAUUGGGACUGAGACACUGCCCAGACACCUACGGGUGGCUGCAGUCGAGAAUCUUCGGCAAUGGGCGCAAGCCUGACCGAGCGACGCCGCGUGUGGGAUGAAGGCCUUCGGGUUGUAAACCACUGUCAGAGGGGAUGAAAUGCAGGUGGGUUCUCCCAUCUGUUUGACAUAGCCUCAGAGGAAGGACGGGCUAAGUUCGUG